GGCAGAGGGCUGUCGGCGGUUUUGGGGGGGGGAAUUCGUGCGAGAGAGAGAGAGAGAGAGAGAAAGGAAAAAGGAAGGGGGCAUGCGGCCAAGGGGGAGAAGGAAAAAUAAAAAUUAAAUUAAAUUCCUAAAAUCAAAAUUUCUUGGUCCCACUUGCUCUUGUUUAAUUCAAUUUGGUCCCCAAAAAUCCCCAUGCUAAAGUACAUGAUCCUCACUUGCUUUCUUGUAUCAAAUUUCCUUCAAACUGAGAGUUCUAGUAUGAACACCUAGUGGGGGUGAAUAGGUGUUUAAAAUAAAUCUUGGCAAAUAUAUGCGGAAUAAAAUAAACUUCAAACAAAUGAGUUAGGGAAGAGAAUAAGAACACAGAAAUUAUAGUGGUUCGGCUUAAUCCAAGCCUACGUCCACUCUCCCACGCUAACAGCCUUCUUGGCUGGAUUCCACUAUGCAAUCAACAAGAGAUUACAAUUUCGAGUGCAAACACUUAGUAGUAGAUCACACUAUCUCACUAAGUCACUCCUUUGGUAUUUGUCUCACGAUCACAAACGUUUAAGCUCUCUAAAGACAAGUGCAUGAUCGAAGGUCGCUCAGACUUUGGAAUUAUAAAUUCUACGCUCUAUCUCUUACUUGUUCAUCGGUCCAUGAUCUCCUUAAAUACUCCUCCACUUCCAAACUACCCGUUGGACAGUAUCCCAGAGAAUCGUCUUCCAAUAUACCCAUUGGACAGCUCUGUAUCUUGAAGAUUUGGUAGCCGUUGAGUGACAAAGGUAGAAUCCCAAAUUGAUUCCGAUCGCCCAUACAAACGAAAUCUUGGUUUCCAUAAGUAAAGCCUCUUCGUAUAGAAAGUUCUUGUCUUUAAGAUCCAAUCGUCAAUCAAAUAGAUUGAGUCAAUCAAAUCAAUCUUGAUGUGGAAUCCAAACCAGAUCACUAGCCGUUAUAUGAUUGGGCUUGAAUUACGUUCUGUUGAAUCUGGAUGUAAAGUCUGAUAGCAAUAGACUUUAUAAUCUGAGUCUGAGUGCAAUAGACUUUACAAUCUGGGUCUGAACAUAUUCUACUUCUGAACAGUUUUAGCUUUAAGGUCUGAAUACCCAAUUCAGCUUCAGUAUAGAGUCUGUCUUCUGGUUCAGCUUCAACAUAGAGUCUAUCUUUUGGUUCUUCAUUCACGUUCAGUCUGGAAUUUGUCAGAAUGAGCAGACUUCUGAUGUAGAACAGACUUUGACACUAAAGUCUAGCAGUCUUCAAACUUUGACACAGAAGUCUGGAAAUCUUCAUAAUAUACUUUGGACAUAUGUUACGUUCAGUCUUCUGGCUAUCUUCUGACUUUGAUAAUAUCCUUUACAUGUUCUAUUAUCUGCAUGGUCUAUUACUUAACCAUUAAACAUGUUAGUAGCCUUUGAUUUAUUUUGUCAUCUUCAAAACAUCAUAAAAGGCCCGAAUUAUUCAAUUGAAAAUGAGAUUCAAAAUCCAAGAUGUCACAAUAAAUAGCCGAAGAGGUAUCAAUAGAAAGGACCUUUUCCCAAAUCAACAAUCGAUCAUCUACUUUCAAUUGCUUUGUUUCUUUUAUUGAACUUUUAAUUUGAAUUGUAGUUUUACUUUUCUCCUUUUUUUCCUGCAUUUAUGUUUGCUUGUAAUUUAGAUCAGUUGCUUCCUUUCCGGCAUGACACAGAACCCAUAUUAAAUAAUAAAGUCGAAACUUUGCCCCUUUGGUGAAAGAUUUUGUCGAGGGAAGUUUCCUUGACAAACAUCUUUUUGGCAUGCCUAGUGGGACCAUUGUGUUCCGUUCAUAGGAAGGGUUAAUGGCAAAAACAAGAAAUUAGGAGAGUCACUCCUCGACCAUCAAGGGUAAUUUGUCACCGCAGCACGUUGGAGAGAGAACCACCUGUUCCAAGAUUUCUGGUUAAAAUGUAGACUAUAUUAAUGGUGUCAACAUGGGCAAUCAUUCUAGAGACAUUUCAUGAGAAUUAUCUGAAGAUCAGAGAAGAGAGUUGGCCCUUAAUUCAACGGUAAUGGUCACCAUGAGAAGGAUGUUCGAAGAGCAACAAAAUGAUAUAGCCAAUCAUAUAGCAAAAUGUCUUUGGUGAUGGAGACAUAUUUAUAAUAUAUGUAAGAUAAUUAGGUCGUGGUACUUUCAAUCGUGAUUUAAAUUGUUUUUCCCUGGACAUUUCUAUUUUCUUCUUCAUUCAUUGUCUUGUUUACCAAACUUCACGAUGAUCAUUAUUACUAUUUUAUCUUCGUCGAAAUUUUAGUGGACACAAAUUUCUCAGUAAAGUUUGAUAGACAACCUAUCCGAAGUAUGGGUAAAUGCAUUAGUUAUACAGAACAAAAAAUCGAAAGUGAAUUACCCAAACAAAGCACACAAUUAAGAUAGACCAAAAGACGCCACCGUUGCAUGCACAAUAGACGACAGAGAGGAUGUCUCUUCUAUAAAUAUAUUUGGAGAUUCAAAAUCACCAAUUGUCUAGCACGAUGUAGGACGUGAUGAAAUCGCUUAAAAGAUGUGCAUUGAGGAAAAUGUUAAAGCUAGAAACAUGCGAGUCUCUUGAAGACAAAGCCAGCGAUCGAACUGUAGUAACAGGAGAUCCGGUCCGGGACUUGAAGGCCAAGCCGGCGAGUAUGCCGUUCGUGGAUUGGUGGGUCAUAUCUUGAAGUAUGGUUGUGAGGAUUCAUUCUUCUUAUGUUUCUCAAUUUCACUCUUCAAGUUUCACAUAUUAUCGGUGAACACAAAAUAUAUAGCAAAUAAAAAUAUUAUAUUUAGCCGGGUGAGUAUUGGAGUGUCUAAAUUUUAAAUAUCUUUUUUUUUUCCUUAUUGAAUUUUGAGAUGUCAUUAAUGAUGAAUUAGUUCUCAGAGAUUAACCACUUUUGGUAUAGGUUUUUUUUUUGGCUCUGUAGGCUUAAGAGGAAAAAAUAAAGGGAAGAAAUAAGAUGAUUAAUUACACGGAAAUAACUAUCACAUCUUGCUAGGUGAGUAUAAGGGUGUCUACAUAUCAAAUCAUCUUUUUGUAUCUAUAGAAUUUUGACAAGUUGUCGAUGAUAGAUGAGAUGAUUAAGUAAUUUACCUAGUUUGGCAGUUGGAAGGGUUAAAACCCCUUCUUGAAACUAGCAUACUAGAUGUGUAAGCUCUUUAAUGACUCUUCUUCAAUGAGUGGUCUCAUUGCAUUGAGCUCAACUUGAUCACUGUCUUACUCUUGAAGUUUCGCCUUAGUGUCCCAGACACCCCUAUCCAGGCUUGGGCAUGAUAUUUUUUGCUUUGGUCACAACUCACCCACGCUUACUUUAAGUGCUACAGGUCGUAUUUAGGCAAAAUGGGAUUAGAGACAUACAUAAAAGCCAACAUUCCCACUCUUAAAGUCAUGCAAGAUUUACCUACAAGCACAAUAGCCCAUAUGGAGGUAAGUGGGAACAAUUAAAUAUCGGAAACCUAACAUCGCCACCUUGGCCUAAUACACCACUAUAGGUAGCCUCAUUGGAGGGUAAACAUGAUAUUAUUUGCUCUGGUCGUUGCUAUUGAUAUUCAAAUUUUUAUCAACGUUUUAGGUAUCCAUUUAUAUUACAAAAAUCUGAAAAUUUAUAAAAAAUAAUAAUAACAAAAAAAUAAAAAAGAUAUUAAAAAAAGCGAAAUGAAGUCGUGUGGGCCGGCCCCUUAGCAAAGUUUUCAGCCUUCUAAGCCCCCUCCCCUCCCUCCAUUAGUCCAACCCAUUUCUUUUAAUUCUUUGGGCCCAUCUCUUCAUUUCCUUUUUAGCCCAUCUCCUUUUGUCUUUCCUUGGCCCAUCAUAUAACCAAACACAAAGGAAGCCCAGCCCCAUCCUCCCUCUUCCCUCACGCGCGCUUCCCCCUCAACUUCCCCAGCGAGCACAGCGUCUGUGACGCAAGGAAGAAAGACAGGCCAAGCGUGCGUGCGUCUGUGAGCGAAGGAGGCGCGACAAGCCGUGACGAGAGCUGAGCCAGCACCUUCUAGAGCCGUGCUAGCUGGCGUGCGAGAGAAAUAACACAAAGAUUCGAUCGGUGAGGCGAGGGGAGCGUGCUGAUCCGAGAGAAAAUGAUGCUCGCCUCAAGAGGAUCCUGUUCGCAUAACAGGAGGAGAAGAGACGCCGCCGGAUUUCGGAGAGGGCGGCCGUCGAAGAGGCAAGUUGCAGAGAGAUAAGCUGAAGAGAGAUUCACGGGGGAGAAAGAGAGUCAGCCGAGAGCGAGAAGGAGAGGAUGGCUGGACGCUCGCUUGAAAAAGGAUUUGGCCAUCGAAGAGCUCGGCCGAAGGGAACCAAGGAGGAUAGGAAUCGGCACUACCCCUGCCAGGUCGUUUCUAUUCCGAUCGACCGUUAGAGUCGAUUACGUGUUCAGAAUCUCCUCAUCGCUCUGCUCCAUUGUUCGGGAUCUGUGUCCGUCCACCUUCGAACCGAGAUAUAGGAGAGCGAAGCUGUCUGAAGCAGGUUCGCGAGUUUCGUUUCAGUCGAAGGGAGAAUCCUCGGGAUUUUAUUGAUCUCGAUUAGUUGAAAUUAAAAAAUUAGUCUUGCCGAGAGUCCUUCAUGACCUGUUUGAUGUUUUGUGUAGAUGUCUUCAACGUUGAUUUGUUCCUGUUACUGGUCAAUCCGUGAGCAUUUUAGUAUGAGUCUCGGAAAAGUUAUUCCAUAAAAUUGGAAGAGAGUAGGAGUAGGAAUGGAAUAGCUAAUUUGUAGUUUGGUUUGUAUAAUGGAUUCAAAAAAUUCUCUGGUUUGUUUUGCCAUGAUAUUAGGGAGAAUAUGUUUGGAAUAGUGUAUACCCAAAAUACCCUUUGAUGAUAUAUAUCAAACUCUAAUUUCUUUUAUUAUCAUAUUUACAUAGGACAUAAACGAAAGCCUACUAUAAUUUCUAAAUAAUUGCAAUAUUUGAAUUUCUAAUGAAAGUAACCCUUAUUUUAUUAAUUGAUAUAAUUAAACCAUAAUAUAAUUACUAAAAAAAUAAAUGAACUAAUUAUUAAACAAUAGUAUAAUUACUAAAUAGAUAACUAUUAUUUUUAUAACUACCUUUCGAGUCAAGCCAAUACAAUAAGGCCAAGCUCAAGCUCAACUCCUAUUAGAUAUCCGAUGCUCGGAGUUCUGCUUGAGCUUUGCAACUCAAAUUUUUAAAGAAAAAAGUACCAAAAUAUUAUUAAUAAUAAACAAAGUAAUUGCAGAAAAAUAAUAAAACACGGAUCGACUGUCCAAUGAUAUAUUUCUGAAGCACCAAAAGUCCUCAAGGCUGGGGCCAACCAGUCCAUCAAAUGUUUGUCGGGCCACAGUCGGCCAAUUAGGCCCAUGGGCUUGAUUGGACCUACGCUCACAAUGGGGUUGGGCAACACGGCCAACAAGGCCCUAAAGUAAUUAUAACUUGAGUGUUUAAUCUAGCGUUAAUCAACAUAAAAUGCUACAAUGUACAUUUUCUCCAUCAAAGUAAAUUAGUGUGACAUGUAUCCAUAUCGUACUAAUAAAAAAGUCUAAGUUUAAGUUGUUUCUUUCCUUUCAUAUUCGGAAAUUGCUUUCCUUAAUUAUUAAAAGUCAAUAUCUAAGGGCCACAGUUCUAGAAUUUCAAACUUUACGUUCAUUAUUCAUUCCCUUUGAAUUAGACCACGCUUUUAUUUGACUUUCCGUGAUGGUGGCCAAAGAUAUCUCCUCGUCUUCUAAUUUAAUGUAGUUGGAGCACGCUCAUGACAACAACAUCACACCACAUUCCUGGAAAGUUAAAAUUCAAUGUAACAAUAAUGUCACUCGAAAUCGUCUAAUUAACCCCGUGUUCUAAGGAUGUUCGGAUCUUGAUUUGGCUAAUUAAUUGCAAUCUUAAGUAAUUUAAUAAGGAUUCCACCUAAUUUUGAUCCGAGUAAUGCGGGGAAUUGACCAUAAAUGAUGGGACAUUUGAACAAACAUAUGAAUAUGAUCCAAUCCAGAAAAAUAUCAGCUUUUUCCCGACGUCCAUCCCUAUCAGGAAAAUUUACUUAUGGUGGACAUAGAAAUGGUUCCUCGUAUUUUAUUUACGAAUUAAAGUUUUUGGAUGGUGGAUAUAAAGUAAGUAAUUUAGGCUAGAUUUCGUGUUGUGUACAGGCAAGAUAUUGACUUUCUACAGAAUACCCACCGCACAUUUGGAUGGAAUAUAGAUAUUAGAGCAUGCUUAUAUUUGACUUUGCGUGAUGGUGGCCAAAUAUAUCCUCAUCAAUCUAAUUUAAUAUAAUUGGAGCGCGUUCAUGACAACAUUACACUACAUUACUGGGAAAAUUAAAAUUCACUGUAAAACAAUAAUGUCACUUGAAAAUGUCAAAUUGACCCCAUGCUAUAAGGAUAUUCGGAUCUUAAUUUGGCUAGCAACUUGCAAUCUUAAGGAAUUUAAUAACGAUUCCACCUGAUUUUGAUCCGUGUAAUGCGGUGAAUUGAUGAUAGAUGAUGGGACAUUGGAACAAAAUAUGAAUAUGAUCCGAUCAACAAAAAGAUCAACUCCUUCCCAUUCCAUUGCAUUUGCCUUCUUUACAAGACUGUUGAUUUCUUUCUCAAUAUCAGCAAACUUCAUCUCAUCAGCAUUUCGAAUUUACUGGAACAACCAGACCCCACGUGAAAGAAAACGAAUUAAUUUAAACCACAAUCUCAUUAGAGUCUACGUACCUGAUAAUCAAAAGACAAAUCCCUAUACCUGCCUUGCUUAGAGAAAAAUAUCAUGGCAAGGAUCGCAAAUUUCUAUAGCUAUUCAGUCAUUUUCUGGAGACAAAGGAUGGAAAUAGUUUCUUACCUUUACCAAAAAAAAAAAAGAGAGAGAUGGAAAUAGCAUAAUCUCGCCCCUCGAUCAUCAAAUAUCUCGAUCAGUAGUGUUUUAGGGGGGAAAAGGGUUGUUGAUGCUAGAAAAUCGCGACAUUAGCUUAUCACUUCUCACAUUUAAUGUCCUUGGAAUGAUGGAGGCAUCCAAAAUCAAAGAAUGAGAAUCGUCGCUCUAAAUCCUUGGUCUCCAUCUUGGUGAUUUUCUACAGCUUAGGAAGACCGCUGGUGGAAAUCAUAAUAUGUUUAAGAAACAUUGAUGAGAGUGUAAGACAAGUUUAAACCAGGAGCUUGUGCUCCAUAUUAGUCGUUGCUAAGCAAAUGAAAGGAAACCUCUUCGUCAUGGUGAGAGCAAGGGUGAAUCACUACUUGUCAAAGCAUGAAGAUCUACGUUCUUUAGCCCAUAUAGAGAAGAAAGAAUAAAUAAAAGGGAAAAAUCCUCAAAAAUCCCAAACUUCACCCAUGUGAUAUAUUUAUCCAAUUCUUUUUUUUUUUUGGUGACUCCAAAAAUCUUAAACUUAUAUUUCUAUGACAUAUUUACCUCAAACCUUUUUUUUUGUGAUACCAAAAUCCCCAAACUUUUUUUUUGUGACACCAAAUUUUAAGGAUAAAUGUGGCAUAUGAAUACAAAAUUAUGAUUUUUUAUAUCAUAAGAAGAAGUUUGGGAUAGAUAUGUCCCACUAUAUAAAUUUGGGGAUAAAUAUGUUACAUAAAUACAAAUUUGGGAUUCUUAUUGUAAAAAAAAAAGUUUGGUGUUAAUAUGUCACAGUGAACAUAAUUUAAGAUUUUUGGUGAUUUUUUUUUUCUUUUAAUAAAACAAGCACUUAAUAGUGGGCAACAUACGCAAUGUGAUUGCAAGCAUGGGAUAGAGACUCGAUGCUGGAUGUUUUUUGGUCAUACGGAUCAACCGUCCAAAAUCGACUUAUUAUUCUAAAGGGUUUUCCUUCAUCUUGGACGUCACAUAGGAAUUUUUACACUAGGAAGAAGCUGAGAUGGUCUAAAGGUUUAAUUCAACCAUUGAGGUUUAAUUAAACCAUCCUUUGAAGAUAUGAUACUGGAAAAAAAAAAUCCGCAUAUCAUAAAAUGAAAAGUACCCGGACUCUAUAAAAAAAACACCCGGACUCUCAAAAAACCAGUACUCUUCCCUCAGUCUCUCGCCCUCGCCAAUCGGUCACCCCAAGCCUCCGCCACCUCGCCGCUACAUCACAGUCGACAUCGUAUCCCCUUCCCGUGCCGUCACCCCUCGCCGUCAACGUCGUAUCCCUUCUCGUGCCAUCACCUGUCGCCGUCGAGCCCCCCGGCCAUCGCCUGCGCCGAUCGUUUCGCAUCCCGUCUCGGCCAAGCCACCAUCUCUGUCCCCGACUCUCUCUCCUCGAGGCAGCCUCGCUCGCGCGGCCGUGGGCAACACCAGAUUUGAAGGUGAAAAGUGAUGCACAGCUCUCUCUCUCUCUCUCUCUCUCUCUCUCUCUCUCUCUCUCUGUCUCUCUCUCUCUCUCUCUCCUUCCGUGUUUCCUCUUCGAAGCAAUUAUUUUGUCGAUCUGAGAAGGAAGGCUGCAGGUAACUUCCAGGCGAACGCAGCGAAAGUGAGAGAUCUCUCUCCGUUGCGUCAUCAAGUUGCUACGUGGAUCAGACUCGGACUUCUCAAGUCACCGGGCAGACCCAAUUCGGAGAUCCAUUUCUGCAUCGUCCUCACAGAAUGAAGAGAAAGAGGGAGGAAAAAGAGACGGCAACAGCAGCUUCAACAAGCAGUAGCCGUGAUGAUGGAUCGGGGAGUGGCUACGAGGUGUUCCUGAAUUUCAGAGGUCCCGACACCCGUUUAACCAUGGCUGAUUGUCUCUACAAUGGCCUGAUUGGUGCAGGGAUCCGUGCUUUCAAAGACAAUGAAGAGCUCCGAUUUGGCGAAGAGAUCGAAGGUGGCCUCUUACAAGCGAUCAAUGACUCUAGAAUUUACAUCCCGAUAUUCUCCAAGGACUACGCUUCAAGUAAGUGGUGCCUUCGUGAAGUGGCACGCAUAGUGGAGCUAGUGAGAGCUAACAAUGAGAAAGUGAUCCUCCCUAUAUUUUACGACGUGGAUGUGGAUGAUGUCAAGCUUAAGACUAAGUUAUAUCGGAAAGCCCUUCGGAAACACAAGAGCAACUACGGGAAGGAUUUAGUAAAGAAGUGGAAGAAGGCGUUAAGAGAGGUUGCUAGUCAUAGAGGAAGGAAGCUAAAAGAUCACGGGUAUUAUUUGCUUCUCCAUUGACUUUAUUUUCUUUGUUGAAAUUUUCGAUUUCUCGUUCCUUUAAAGAAUAGUUCGUCGAUUGCUACUGUCCAACCUUGUGCAACAUAUGUUUCCAUUUGACGCAAUGAGGGAGCUAGAAAUUUUGCUCAGAGGGCGAGGCUUCUUGCACAAAUUGACUUUUCACUUUUUUAAUAUCAAAUUUUUAUAACAAUUAAAGUUAAGGCAUAGAAACUUAAUUAAUUAAUAUAUAAUGCAAAAAAAAACCAAGAUAUCCGUGAAGAUCUAAGAUGUGAUAAAAUAGUAAGACCAUAUAUUUGUGAAAAAUAAAAAAUCUAAGUUUCUUAACUUCAAUUGCAUUGCGUAUAUGAAUUUAAGGACUUUUGGUGUAAAUUCCUUGACCUAUGCCUAUAAUGUUUUCCUGAAAAAUUAGAUUGAGUUUGAUGUUAGAUCUUUUUGUUUUUGUUACAUUAAGUAAGCAUAGAGAAAUUAUAGCAUAGACUUAGUCUAUCGCAGUCCAUACGAUAUCCAAAAACUUACGGCCAAGAGGAAAAAACUGAUCCUUGUGGUUUUGGUUUCAGCCCUAGGGAAUUCAUAUGCUUUGCUGUUGUUUUCCUUGAAAUAACCGGCUAAUUACGGUCGCACCACCGAGUCACACAAAAAUAAUGGAGAUUUUUAUGAUGAUAGUUUCAUAACCCCAUAAGAGGAUACUAUAGGUCAUGGUUUUCUUAUUUGGUUUGAGUAUACAAGACCGAACAUUGCAAAGAUCUUUGUAUGCCAUUAUCCAAAAGAACCCAAAAAAAAAGGAUCUCUGUAAGUGUUAGAGGUUCAAUCUUCCUGUAUUUCUUAUUAGAGUAAUUCUUGAUUAAUUUGCAAAGGAUUCACUUAGGUUCAGGUGUGUUAUCAAUCUUGGGCUUUUGUUUUCAUUGUGGUGGGGCAGGUAUCAUAGGCUCCUCUAGUGGCCAGUUGUACAUAGACAAGAUCUGCAACCUUAAACUGAAUAUUCUUCUAUAGUGAUUUAUAGUAGAAUGCUAAAACAUAAAAAUUGGUUCUUGCUGUUGCUUUAAACAUGGACCUAUUCAUGGCCUCAUGUCUUGAUUAACCAAAAAUUCACCUAAGGGACUUCCAAGUAGUUGUAGUUAUGGUUGGAGAAAUCUAAAAGCCUCUAGAAAAUGGAUAAGUACUUAAACAAUUGUAAGUUACCUUGAGAUAUGGAGCUACCCUCUAUCCUAGUUUGCAAUAGUUUUUCUAUAAACCCUAGCCGUUACUCUCUGCUUACUUACAUCCUUCUUCAUUAAACCUUACCGAUUCUAUCUUUCAUUAAACGCAUUAAUAGUUUCAAUCCUCAAGAACGGGAAGGGCUAUCCUAUUACUGCCAUGCCCAACAGGCUAUCCUAUUACUGCCCAUGCCCAACUUAUGUCGUGCAACAUUCUCAAGGAAGCAAUUGUUUUGAGAAAAAUUUUCCUAAAAAAAAUUGCCUCAUCCAAGGUAGGCCACUGUAGGGCGCAGAUUUCCCAUGUUCCAUGCCCAUCCAUAAUUUUAAAGUUAUCGGUUUUUAUAUGAAAUUAUCAACUUUAAUUCGUGUCUAAACAACUUCUUUUUCCAUUGUUUUACAAACAAGUUUUAGCUUACCGGCUUUUAUGUGAAUCAUUUACUAAGUUUAUUAGAUUGUUUGCCAAUUUACAACUUCUGUAAAACUCACCAUAUUGUUUACUCCACAUUUCAAAAUUACCAAAUUUUGUACCGAAUUACUAACUCUAAUAUGAUUGUCAUAUUAACUAAUCUCUAAUUAAGUUAAUAACUAGUUUAAUUCUACCCAUUCUUAUUUGAGCUACUUAUCAGUAGUUAUUAUUUGUUUCAAAACUACCAACCUUCAUAAAACUUUCGUUAAUAACGCACAACCUUUUAUUUGCACUGGUUAUGAACAUCAUUAGGGAACGAAAUCUGUUUUUGAAUUACCAAUCCUAAGUUGAGUUACUCACCAGUUUAUUCUGAUUAAAGUACCAACUAGUUUGCCCUUACCAAAAUUAUUCGGAGAAAUGUUUGUUGGUAACUCGAAUCAAGGUUGAUAUAUAUUCCAGAAAAUCUUCCUCAUUUUCGGUUAGUAUUCUACUCUAUCGGUACAUUAAGAAAAAUGCUUUUGAGAUAGUAUUCUUGUUUCUGAUUUUCAAGGCAACUGCGAGUGAGAUUUUUUCUUUUCCGUUAACCUUCAAACUCAUCCCUAUUGCUUGAAGAGAUUAACAAGACCGAGUUUACCGAGGACUUGAUAUUUAGCCAAACUUCUAGAGGUCUCGUUAUUAGCUGUGUGUGACAAGAAGAAACCAACCGGUGUGAAAAAGUAUAAAAUGAAGUGGAGGCAUCACUAUCAAAUUAGUCCUAAAUUUAUUAUGCAUGACAUUUGAGUACUAGACAUUUUAAUUUUGUCAAUGUGGUCAUAGGUAUUUGCAUGAAAUUUUAAUGUUAUCUUUCUAUCCAAUUGCCAUGAGAAAUUACUAACAUGACGUCCAUUCAUUGCCGUUGUCCUAUGUGGCAAGCUGACAUGGACAAUUUUACUUGAAAUGACAUCUUGUAGAUUGCCACUUUAGCAAUUUUCGAUGGACAUUGACUGGAAGGACUACAUUGAAAUUUUGUAUAAAGGUUUAAGACAAAAUUAUUGAAAUUGAAAAGUUUAUGACUGAAUUAACAUUUGUACAAUAAAUUUAAGACUCAUUUCAUAAUUUUCCCAUAAAAUGGAACAAAGGUCCACAACCAAUUCCAACACAAUGACUCACGGCACUAGUUAGUCACAAUUUGCCAAAGUAACUUCUAAUUGAAGCCCAAUUAGACCCUUGUCACGAAAUAACCUUUUCACAUCAUUGACUAAACCAAAGAACCUUGAUAGCAUUAGCUUCAACCACGAAUAAAGUCCCUCCUCCUCCUCCUCUCUUGAAAACAUCUAUUUUUUUUUUCAAAUGGCUCACAGCUUGAGAGAUCGCUUUUUUGUGUCUUCUGUUUAAGCAAUUAUUUUGAACUUGAUGAUAACCUUCUAGUGCCACGUAAUGUGUGCACAAUUUCCAUAUAUAUGGUUUUUCAAUCUGAGAUGAUUGCAUGUUAUGCAUGUGGCAGCCUAUAUGAACUAAUGAAUCUCACAGUCAAAGAGGUUUCUAGUUUGUUAUGGACAAGAAGGACAGGUGUGCCUGAUCAUUUGGUGGGAAUUAAAGAUCGAGCGGAAGAAAUCUUGAAGCGGUUAGAUCUAGAAGCUUUUGAUGUACGGUUUAUCGUGAUUUAUGGUAUGGGUGGCAUUGGAAAAACGACACUAGCUGAGGCUGUCUUCAGACAAAUCUCCCCUCAGUUUCAGAGACAUUGUGUCUUUCUUAAGGAUGUUUGGACUCAUGAUAUAAUAAACUUACAAAAGAAAUUGUUGUCCGACAUUUUCCAUUUGAGUUGCACAAACUUAUCCUUCAUUGAUGAAGGCGCUGACAUGAUCAAGACGAGAUUUCAUGACAAGAAAGUUCUCAUUGUUCUUGAUGACAUAGACAAUCGAGACCAAAUCAUGAGACUUGCCGGUGAGCCUAACUGGUUUGGUGGGGGUAGUAGAAUCAUCAUAACAACAAGAAAUAUUGAAUUCCUGGUAAAGGAAGGUGAGGAUGACAAUCUCCCAAUCUCUAAUAGCAGACAAUUUUCAUUCUAUGAUAUGCCGGAGAUGAAUUCACAUGAUGCUCUUCAACUUUUCUGUGAGCGUGCCCUGGGACGUGCCAAGCCUCCGCCUAGUUACAUGGAUAUCACAAAAAAGCUAGUCAAUGCAUUAGGAGGACUUCCAUUGGCUCUCAAUGUCAUAGGUUCCACACUCCAGGGAAAAUGCCAAAGAACAUGGGAAGACACCUUAUGUAAGUUAAAGAAGGUGAUGAAUGCGCAUGUCAAGAAGAAGUUGAUGAUAAGCUACGAAGCAUUGGAAAUUAAUCAACGGCAAAUUUUUCUUGAUAUCGCAUGUUUCUGCUUCAACAAAGAGAAAACAACCGCAGUUAAAUAUUGGGACGCAAUUUUUGGGUAUCCGACUGAAAUCGAGGUUAAUAUCCUCAAACAUAUGUCUCUAAUAAAAAUAUCCUAUGAUAAUAAACUAUGGAUGCACGACCAACUUAGAGACCUUGGAAGGAGUAUCGUCCAUCCAGAAAGUGGCGAAAUCCAUAUGAAGGGUAGCAGAUUGUGGUCUCCCAACGAUGCCUUUCAUGUAGUGCAGACAGAAACGGUAAUCUUGACCUCUAAAUGUUUUCCAGUAAAUGCAUUAGCAUCACCACCUUUUUAUCUAAUUUCAAGUCAAGGUGACAUAUGUACUCAUUGGUUGCUACUUUUUUUUUCCAGGGAACCAAAGACACAGUGGCCCUCAAUCUCGGUACACCAAGCCCAAAUAAGACGUACAGAUUUAAGCGUGAGCAAUUUAUGGGCUUGGUCAACCUUAGGUUCCUUCAAUUGGACCAUGGAAAUUUUGAAGGAGACUUUAAGAAUGUUUUCUUUAAUCUGAGAUGGCUCUCUUGGAGCAAUUGCCCUUCAAAAUUCCGAGCUAGCAACUUUGGGUUGAAGAACUUAACGAUUCUCACGUUAUCUGGGAAUAACGUUACUGAAGAUUGGGGAGGAUGGUGUCAAAUCAUGGUAUGAUCUCACAACAUCCUUUUGCAUUAUAUUCACUCUUCCUAUUUUAUGAGUGUCUACUCAAUUACUUUAUAGGUAGCAGAACAAUUGAAAAUCCUACAGCUCGAGGACUGUCCAUUCCUUAGAAAGAUGCCCAAGUUCUCCACAAUCUCAAAGCUGGAGAGAUUGAUUCUUAGAUGCGUUCGACUAAGAAAGAUUGACAAGUCCAUCAGCAAUCUACAAAAUCUUGAUUACCUAGAGAUAAAGAGUGAAGCUAUUGAGUCGCCACCAGAGUCCAUCGGCGGUCUAAAAUCUUUGACGGUGCUAAGAAUAGAGCAGACACCCUCAAGGAAGCCUCACUCGAUUGGCAAUUUAGCAAAGGUGAAGUCUCUAAUCUUGCCACACCAAGAACAUCAAAAGCUUCCCGACUCUAUCGGACAAUUGGAGUCACUACUUGAGCUAAAUGUCCAAUAUUUAAAAAUUAGUGAAUUACCUCAUUCUAUUGGAAAUCUUGAAAGGUCAAAAGUUUUACGCAUCUGGAAUUCCUAUCUAGAAAAGCUACCAAACUCGAUUAGGAGGCUCCAAUCAUUGGUCAAGUUGGAUUUGAGAGAUUCAAGAAUCGAGAGCUUACCUGAUUGUAUUGGAAAUCUCAAAAAGUUGAAGGUACUAAAUCUCCAUGAUAGUUGCAUAAGUGAACUUCCAAAAACCAUAGGAAUGUUGGAAAAUCUAGAAGAGUUAGAUGCCUCCUCUGAACACCUGGUGGGGGAAAUUCCAAAUGAAAUCGGGGCACUAUCCUCAUUGAAAUAUCUAGACUUAUGCAACGGUCGCUUUAGUGGAUUGCCCACAACGAUCAAUCAGCUUACAAAUCUCCAACGACUUAAUUUAUGGCACUGUAAUUCAAUCCAACAGCUGCCGGAGCUUCCCAAGAGUCUAAAGUUUUUAACCCUUACAUCGAAUUCGCUGACCACGAUCCCCGACUGCUUAAACCUAACCAAUUUAGUUGACCUUAUGAUAAUUGGAUAUUCAAUUGAAGAACCCAACAUAGAGGGGAUCGUGAGACUACCUGCUCUGGAAAAAAUGGUCCUCCGCGUUGGAAAAAUGGCCUUGCCUCCAAUUGAUUUUAGUUCCCUCUCUCAACUACAAUGCCUCACCAUAAAUUAUGAUGAGCCCCAAUCUCUUAUUGGGCUCCCAUCCGGCCUUCAAUAUUUGUGGUUAUGCGAUGUCGAGUCACCGAUAGAUUGGUCAAUCUUUUCCAACUUGGAGAAUUUGUCGAACUUGUAUAUUGUUCGAUAUUCGCUGAGAGAGAUUCGAUUCGAGGUGCUUGGAGAGCUACGGAAAUUCAAACAAUUGCAGAUGCUUGAUUGUCCAUUGCUCAAGACGCUGCCCGUUCUUCCUUGUUUGAAGGAGAUCCAGUUUUUUUCCCUGUGCCAAUUGCCUCAACUAAUUGAGAUUCAGGGUUUGGGAGAAUUGAAAUCUUUACAGGAUUUGUCUAUCUGGUUUUGCAAUUCAAUCAAAAGGUUAAACGAAUCUGAUCUUUCUAAUCUACAAAAUCUGAAAUAUUUGUGGUUCUGGGGAUGUGAAUCAUUGGAGAGGGUGCUGGGUGUGCCAAAAUCUUGUCAACUCAUUGUCGAUGAUUGCCCGAGGUUCAAUGGAGAUGGAUAAGAUAUGUAUCAUUUGAUUGGCAAAGAUAGUCGAUGAUGGUAAGUCCAUAAAACUAGCGUUUGUUUUUUGUUGUGUCCUAUUUUGUGAGUUUUCCUUCAACUAAACUUUCAUCUUGGUUUUGGAAACACCUCUUGCAUUCGUUCAUCCUGUUGUCUCUCAAGGAAAAUCCUCUUCCAUGUAUCAUGAACGUGUGAUACUUUGACUUGCCUCGACUUGAUGAUGGUGAUACUUAGCUGGUUUACGUUGUGCACUAGUAGAACGUCGGAAUUGACAUGCUUUGCGGCACCUAUUUUGCUUAGAAAAAAAUGGAUAAAGUGGAAGGGAACUUUUAGAUAGUAAGCACACUAAAGAUGCUGAUGAAUGCUAGGUUUUGUUGUAAGGCUGAGGUGGUUGAGACUUGAGAGUACUGGUCUCACCUUAUGGAGUGUUUUUAAUAUAAGUAAAGAACAAUCAUGAUUUGUGAGGACUAAAAUAAAGGAAUUAAUGCUUGGUUAGUGGAAGAGUGAAUCGUUGAUACCUAUUAUGCAAUAUGAGUGAUUUAGUUAUUUCCUUCAUGAAGAAUUGGAGGUGUUUUUCUGGUUACUUAUGAACUGAAGUGGAGAAGCUUCAAGUCUUGAGUCAUGGUGUGAUUUGUGAACUAUCUUUCUUCAUUCUAGUAUUUAGCCAUUUAUGCGUGAAAUUCGUGCUGUGAGACAAUUGAUAUUGGAGUAAACUUGUCGAUAUGGUCAAACCACCAUUUCUUUGAAGACUAGGUUUAGUUGCAUCGAGUUGUGCAUUAUGCAAUUUCUGGUGUUAGGAAAGAGCACAUUUGUGUUGUUGAAGACUAGGGUUUGUUUAUUCUUUAAGUUGACUUAUUGCACCUUUCCUCAUCUCUCUCUCCCUCUUUUUAUGCUUAUAAUGUGGUUACUGUUAACUUGUUAAAUAAACUUGUUUGUUCUUUGUGUCUAUCAUUUUUACAUUUACUGAUAAAACAUUUUUGCACAAGCUCCUCCAAGACUAUGGUGAAAUGUUCUUUUACAUGGAUGUCUAGGCUUUGGCAAGACAUAUUGUCGAUGCUACAGCAACGACUUGUUCUCUUCAAUCCAUAUCAGAAAAAGGGCGAGCUGUGGCUAAGUACACUAGUACAUUUUAGCUAUCUGUAAGAGGCUUCUUUUCAACUACAUUGAUGUUUAUUAAGUUCCCUUAUGCAAUCUUCUAUUGAACUCUGUUAUUUCCAUACAUUUCACAAUUUUGUGCUUUCUUCUUUUGCUUUGGAUGCAUUUAAUAGAGGUCCCUUCAUCUAUGCCAAUAGUCGAUAUAUGAAACUAGCAGCAGCAAUGAGGAUCCUACCACCGCAGCCAAGAUGUUCUAAUUAUAUUAUUUUAAACAAUAGCAAUGAGGAUUCUCCCAUAAUGAAGAGGCCAAGUUAAAAUGGUUCUUGAGUUUUCUCAUGCAUGAAUGAGAGAAUCCUCUAUGAAGAUGAAAAGAAAGAUUAAGAUGUAAGACAUUUGAAGUUUUUCUCUACUAGAAAUUUGAAAUUUGUGAUCAAAUGUCUAUUGGAUCAUCUGUUAUGUAAAUUGACAGCAUUGAUUUUGUGAGCAAACUAGAGGAAUUUUGAAUAUUUGAGAGUAAUGGCAAAUUUAAAAUUACAGGUUUGGAUAUAUUCGCGAAGGUAACGGCUGUAGCACCUUGCCUUCACUUUUUUCAUGAAUUUGAUUACAUUGUACUGAAGAGGGAGCAUGAUAGUACGGGGGUCACUGACCAUGUCAUCAAUCAGUUAGUUUCUUGCGUUCAAUGGCACUUAUAAAGUGGUCAUGUGAAAUAUAGUUGAUGGUAUGACUCACUAAUGAUAUGUUAUUCAUUGGUGCAAUUUUUUACUGAAUCAAAUGGUGUUGAAGUUUUAAGCGGUGUGUUUGUGUCGAUAGGGACAAGGUAAUAAUUUCUUCUUACAUGGUAACAAAAAGUACUCUCUUCCAUAGCACACUAACCGUAAAUUGUUGUUGGAAAUUGCAUGGUCAUUAUGAAUGCUUUGCCAAAAAAUUUCUAUGAAGCAUUUAAUAUGGAGACUAUGUAAUAACCUUCAAGAAAGACUAUAAAAUGAUAGACAUGACUUUUCCUUGAUUUAGAGUUGUUUAACUUUGGAUACACAAUAUUUGAUAAACUACAUAUGUACCAAAGAAGGUGACAAAUGGCUAGAUUAAUUGAAUUACUUUUCAGUUGCUAAAGUAGCUUACAAGAAGUGUAUUAAACUGGUCUUGAACCUCUUCAACAGCUUCAACAGAUGUCGAUCAUUUCAGUUUUGAGUGUGCCAAAAUCUUGUGAACUCAUCAUCAUUGACUGCCCAAAGCUCAAUAGAGAUGGAUAAGGUAUGUAUCAUUUGAUUGACAAAGAUAGUUGAUGAUGGUAAGUGUCACGCCCCGAUCCUUUUGGGCACGCACACAUCCUUCUACUUGGUCGAUUUUUAUAAUGCGAUAUCCCAGGACUAAUUAUCGCCGACCCUUUCGUUUAUUAAGCACAUGCGGAAGCCAUUUUAAAUCCCCAGACAAUAAAACAAUGGGAUAGAAAAGUAAGGCAAUAUUUCUCAUAUUGAAAUCCUUGACCAAACCUUUAUACAUGGCAUAACUCAAAGUCUAUUCACUAAACAUGAUUAAGAAAAGAGGAUAGGAUCUUAGUUCUCAUCCAGGUCGUACUCGGACCAUCAUCGAGGUUCUCCUCCAGACACUCCUCUUCGGUUUCUUUCUCCUCAGGCUCCUCAUCAGGGUCCUGAAAUGUUGUCCCACAACCGGGAUGAGACUAUGUCUCAGCAAGUUCUACCCCACUAAGACUCGAUUAGGAAACCAAUAUGCUAACCGGGCUGCCUAUACACGCACGGGUCAGAGGACUUACCUUGGCCUCAUAUUCCACCUGCAUAUUAGCACAAUUCAAUAGGCACCAAAGCAAUUACAUCACAGAUCAAUAUCUCGAUCCAUCGACCUAGUCGAUUUCAUGUCAAUUCGACUAUUCCCCAGUCGUUUCCCUUAUUCAGUCUCAAAUCAUACCCAUGACUUCACGAGCAUAGUCUACCAAAUUUCUUGGCAACAAAUUACAGUCCCAAAGAACACGACCUAUCUUUAGGUAGCAUAUUACGGCCUUAUCAGGCGCGACCUUUAAUGGUGGCAAAUUAUGGCCUUAUCAGGCGCGACCUUUAAUGGUGGCAGAUUACGGCCUUAUCAGGCGCGACCCAUAUCGGGUGGCAGAUUACGGCCUUAUCAGGCGCGACCCAUAUUAGGUGGCAGAUUACGGCCCAACGGGCGCGACCCAUAUUAGGUGGCAAUUUACGGCCCAACGGGUGCGACCGAUUCCAAAUUCAGUGGCAGAACUCGGCCAUACUCACAACCUUUCACAGUCAAAUUCUAAUUGAAUACCGACACUGAUCGAUUUUGGGAUAAUUCCUCAAAUUGCACAAUUAAUUCAAUUUAGCACAAUGUAGAGCUCAAAUAAAUAAACGGACUGCACCAUGACAAUCAGCACCAAAUUUCGAUCGUCGGCUAUCAUCGCCUAAUUUCCGAAAAAUAAAUAAUUAAAUAAUUAAUUUCGAAAUUAAUAAUUAAAUACUAAAUAUCCAAUUUAGGCCCGUAAUGCCUAACUGAAGCCCAAUAAGGGUCGGGAAAAAUCCCGAGAUGCAUUCAAUAAAUAAUAGUACGUCUCUACUUGCUAAUGACUAAGUCUAACCACCUAACAUGCAUCACUAAGUCACUAAUUUAUUUUUUCUAAACUAAUCUAACCACCUAAUUGCACUUAAUUAAAUCUAAUCAACCCUUAAGCAUCAUUAAUUUACUAAGCGAGGAUUAGUGAGAUUACUCACUUGAUUAAAAGCGGAGACCGGGACACCGCGACGGUUACGCGACGGCGGCCGAAAUCGGACUUUCGACAACACCGGCGGGCUUGGACCGGGCCUUAAACUUGGCCCAACAAAUCUCAGCCCAACUAAGAUUUGUUCUCGUACUGGACUGGGCUCGCUCUUGGACUUGGGCUUGGCUGCGAUUGGGCCUGAUCUGGGCUUCAAGAUGGGCUGGCUUUGCGGGCUUCAAAACCACGCUGGACUCCUUGGGGCUGAAAUAAAACUGAACUGGGCCUGUCUUUGCUGGGCCCAAAAGAAAUUCACUGAGCUUGGAGACUGCUGGACUUGCAUUGGGCCAUUGAUGCGGCUGAUCGAGGCCUAGGAUUGAUGGGCUUCGAAGACUAAAUCCCUAUGGGCUCAAAAUGCGAACUGCGAGGGAAAUGGACGCAGGCUUCUUCGGUCCUCGUGGCAGCUCGACGGAUGAUGCUUCGUUUGCUUGAUUCGCUGACUCGGUGAAUUCCACACGGUUAGAUGAAGGCCGCGAGCUGGGUAGACCGAAGCUGAGAAAGACGCAUGGAUGCUUGGACGGCAGAGCUGGCGUGCGGUCAACGACGAAGGAGUUCGCUGGUGUCAAGCUGCGGGCUCUGCUGCUGCUUCGGUUGACUGCUUGGACGCGUGGGCGAGGGCAUCAAGCGGUCAACCAAGAGCUUCAAUUGAAGCUGUUGUUGACCGAACCAGGCGUACACACUGCCAAGUGGCAGCAAGCUCGGCAGAAGAUGGAGCUGGUGUCGUUGCUUGCGGAGAAGACCGUUCGGUGGAUGGGCAGAUGUUGAUGGAGAUGAUGAUGCUGUGCGACUUCGGUGAGUGGGGGGCUUCGUGGAGUCAACACCUGGGGCAGCUUGACGAAUUUUAUUGAAGAUUGACCAAGGAAAAUUUAUGGAGCAGCAGGUGGUGGAAGAAACCAGCGAAAAUGGAGUGGCAGGUUCGGUCUUCGGCAGAGACGGAAGGAGCUGACUGCUAAGGAAAUAAAAGAACGGCCGCAGGGAAAUUUGUAAGUGCUGAUUUCGUCCAGAGAAGAGGAGACCGACGUGCGAAUGAAGAUGGGAUCCGUUUAGCGUAUGGAAGAAGCCGAAGAAAAGGGGAUUGAAAGUCAAACAAUAAAUAUCUAUUUCAUGAUUACUAAACCACAAAAGUCCUCAGCCCAACCAAUGGAGAAUUAGCUCCCAAUUAAUCUACUUCAAGUUAUUUUGGUGUGGAUAAUUAUGUCCAUCUUCAGAGAACAUUUACAAUGGGUCACCCAAGAGCCCAAUUUUUCACAAUUCCACACCAAAUGAAGCCAAAUUGAGGGCCAAACUGUAACACCCCGUCACCCCUACGAAUUUAUACCACCUCUUCACCAUUCCCUUCAAUUUGGUAACCAAUUUUCCUUUAAUAAUGCCCGUCCGAAUUUGCAACUCUUUUCCGAAUUAUCCGUAACGAUUUUUAGUAAAAAUCUCGGAAUCUCCGAAAAAUCUUCUGAUUCCUAAAAUAGCUCGUGACACCACAGAACUUUCAAUUUCUGAAAUCGGGUUCGAAUUCACGGUUAAUUUCCAUUCGACGCGUUUUUAGCGUGACCUAGACUGCCGGGUAGUCUUCAGAACUUUUUAGUGCAAAUGACCCGUGGUCGAUUUUCUUCGAGCCACAAUGAACCCACUUGACACAUUGGCAACUCUCGAUUGUCAUAGAAAUCUCGAGAAUUCAAAUACGGACACAAGGUACCAAAACGAUAGAGAAUUCAGUCUAGUGUCGGCCGACGAGAAUUUUCCAAUUUAGUGGCGUCACUCAUGAUUAGGCACACAUCUCUGUCGAACCGACCUAUAUCUGAUCUCUGAUCAAUUUACGUCUGUGCUGUAAUGAUCUCAGCAGAUGAACACGGUCGAGCAGCCGAUUCAUGGUCGAAUUCUCAAGUCUAUUUGCCUUAAAAUUCUUAAUAGUUUCCCCAGAUAGUCUAGUUAUCUCUAGAAUGAUCAGUUCUGAGAACAGCCCUAUAGACGCGUCAAUGAAAUGCCCGAUUUAUUCAAUAGAAAACAAAACUGAAAAUCUAGGAUGUCAUAGUAAGUCCAUAGAACUAGAGUUCAUUUUUUGCUACAUCCUGUUUUGUGAGUUUUCUUUAAACUAAGCUUUCAUCUUAGUUCAGGAACCAUCGCUUGUAUUCGUUCAUCCUGUUAUCUUUGAGCAAAAUUCCAUUUCCGCAUGUCAUGAACAUGUGGUACUUUCACUUGCCUCCACGAUGGUGAUGCUUAGCUGGUUUAUGUUGCACAUUAGCAUAAUGUUGGGGUUGACAUGCUUCGCAGCACGUAACUUGGCUAAAUAGUAAUCACACUAAAGAUGCUAACAAAUGCUAGGUUUUGUUGAAAGGUAGAGGUGGUUGAGAGUAUUGGGCAUACCUUAUGUAGUGUUUUUUCAAUUUUACUACAAAACAAUCAUGAUUUGUGAGAAAUGAAAUAAAGGAAUUAACACCUAGUUAGCAAAAGAGUGAAUUGUUGAUGCCUUUUAUGCUGUAUGAGUGACUUAGUUACUUCUUUCAUGAAGAAUUGAAGGUGCUUUUCUAGUUACUUUUGAACUUACAUUUUGUUUGUCUGUUUGUUUGCUAUUUGUUCAUUCCCUCCCAUCUUAAAUUACCAAACACAGUUGGGGAAGAUGUUGCAAUUCCCCUGAUAAGGCAUUUAGGUUCUUGAACUAUCAUUUUUUGUGCAAAUGACAUUUCUUUUUCUAAAUCCUUUGCUGUUUUGAGCUGGGUCUGGAAAUUUGAUAACUCUGACUCAUUAAGGAAUUAAAUAAGGCAAAUGCAAUAACCUCAGUUGCUCCCUUUUGCAUGAUUUUUGUUUCCAGCAGUUCUAGAGAUUGAACUGGGAUUAUUUGAUUGUGCACAAUCAAAGAUCACUGUUAGCUUUACUCCACAUCUAAUGCUGAUGGUUAUAGUUGCAAUUUUCAAGUACUCCCAUUCUUAAAGUAGAAGUUCUGCUUCUCUAGCCAUAAUUAUUAGCUUUUUUUCAUCCUAUUUAUGCAGAGUCUUGGAAUGUAGUCAACUAUUCCUAUUGAAAUGUCUUCAGAUGUAAUAGUGGGGAUCUACAUGAGCAACUUAAAGUUGUUUGCCGACCAAACUUUGUAUGGUUAAUAGUUUUAUUCUGCUUAGGCAUUCAAUGGCUUAAUGCAAUGACCAUUAACCUUAGCUUUUGUUUGCUGAAGUACUGAUUUUUCAAUACUCAUAUUUACCUUAAUCAAAGUACAUAAUUUAUUUCAUAGACCUUGGUAAGUCAAUCAAGUAGUGGGCAUGUUGGGGGACUAAAACUUGAAAGAUCUACGACUUCCUUUCAUAUUCUCAAGUGUGCUUCCCACAUACUUCACGUUGUUUGAUCGUUUAAUUCACUUUUUCUUGGUGGAUGAGGAAUUCAUUAUUUUAUUGGAAAAAGGAGUAGCUCCUUGUACUCAACACGUGCGAGGAUCCUACUAUUGUUUUAUGAGUGUCUUCCCUGAUUGAGUAUCUAGACGAGCAAUACUAAUAUUUGUCAUAUAUUUCUAAGUGUCUGUUUCCCAUUGAGUGCUUUACUUUUCGUGUAACACCAAAGUCAUCUUAUGGUGGUUAGUUGUCUAAUCCUCUUUUUGCUGAUCAACAAUGUAGUGAAGGGAGCUUAUGGUUAGACUCUGCAGAAUUUCAAUGAGAAGAUGGGAUUACCUGAGAUUGUGGGGUUUAACUACCUAACAUUGUUUCCCUAAUGCACUCUCUCUCUCUCUAUGCUAAUAAUGUGGUUAAUGUUAACUUCUUAAAUAAAAUUAUUUGAUCUUCAUAUCUAUCAUUCUUACAUUUGCUGAUGAAGUGUUUUUGCGCAAGCUCCUCUAAGGCCAUGGUCAAAUGUUCUUUUACAUGGAUGUAUGGCAUUUGGCAAGACAUGCAUUGUUGGUGCAACAAUAGCAGCUUGUUCUCUUCAAUCCAUAUCAGUGAAAGGGCUGAGCUAUUGGAUAAGUAACAUUUGAACUUCUGAGCAAGUUGUAAGAGGCUUCUUUUCAACUACGGCGAUGUUGAUUGAAUUCCAUUGUGCAAUCUCACAUCUAAAGUUGUUAUUAACUCCAUGUCUAUAUCAAAUGCCAGGCAACAAUAACUGAUUUUGAGAAGUGGUUAGACAUAGUCGUUACUCUGUAGGCCAAGAAGAUUUCUGAUGAGGUUUGUUGUCGCGCGCAACUCUUUCUUCUGACUGUGCAAACUAGUCAAGAUUUGGAUUGGGUAUUGUUCAAUUCCAUGGUCACCAUCUUAUUUGUGGCUCUUUGACAGAUCCAUGUCCUGAGGAGAUUUAGUCCAAUGGCAACAUAAUAGAUGGUUCUCAUUGACUUUGCUAUAGCUAGUAUUGAUUAGUCUGCAUCCUUCCUCUUUUUUUUUCUUUUCUUUUUUUUUUUUUUUUGUAUAUCAGCUAUUUUAAAUCACUCCUAAGGCAAUCACUAGCGGUGCCAUAUGGUUCCAUGUGGUUUUCAUCUUGUAAGCAGCUAAUAUCCCUUGCCUUCUUUGGAUAGAGUCCUUCCCCGUCUCUUUCAUACCAGCUAACUAGCGUGCAAGAACUAUAGUUUGAAAAUCUUGUUCUUAUCUGGUCACCAGUCUCUGUGCAAGUGGUGAAUUGUACAUCCCAAUACUUUCUGCCAUCAACAAAGUUUCUUGCUCGUGUGCUGUUAUUUGCAUAUCUCUAUAGUGAACAAGAAUCUGCUAGAUUUAUCCCGCACCAGUCCUUCAAAAAACCAACUACGAGGUAACCAGGCAUCUCAGCCUCUCUGUCAAAACACAGAGCGUGCAAGUAGUACUAUGUCCUGCCUCCAUCUGUCUCUCCAUUGAGGUUUUCUCCCUCAAAUUGGCUACAACCUUUAUCCCCCCCCCCUAGGCGAUGUUGCAUAAAUAAGGUGUGCUAUCUCUCUCAAUGCAAAAAUCCAGGAUUUAAAUUGAUCGAUCAUUUCAAAUUGGGGCACCUUGAUGCAACAAUUACUUAACCUCACCCCUCCAGUUGACCACAAAGAUAUCCUCUUUUUUAGGCUCUAGCUUAUUUGAUACUGAACUAGGAACCUGCAUAAUGACUAAAGCAAAUUGGCUGAUUCGAAAGCUCCCAUUUUUCAACAUUCACCUUUCCAACCUGCAAGUUUGCACUUGGAUAGCUCAAUUGCUGGAUCCCAAUUUUUUUUUUUACCCAAGAGGAAUGUUUAGAUGUGCUAUAGCAAAGUGACCUCUGAUCGAGCAUGCCAUUAUAUGUGUGCAACGAGCAUGUGUCUAUAUUACUGAAAGAUUGAACCGUAGCCUCAGAACUGGAAUUUAAGAUUGAAAUUCAAGUUGAAUGCUUCUCGGUGCAUGUAUUGUAACUGAUUAUACUUAUACUCAUGCUGUUGACUGUUGAGGCUUUUUACGAAGUAAACUUGUUACUCAUAAACAUAUCAUAUUUAUCCAAUAGAGUUCUUUCUCAUUUUAUCGCCUGAAGUUCUUUAUGCUGUCGUUAAACCACCAAUUUUUCACUUGACAGUUUCACUUUUUUAAUCUGGAAUCCUUGAGAUAUGUGAUGUGAACUAAAAUAUUCUCAUAUCUUGUGCUAGAAAAUUUGCAUGUUCAAAUAUCUUCUUGCUCCUCAAUGAUCUUUUAGCUGAUCAUCCUUUUUAUCUUAACAAAGUAGGUUGAGGAUACGGUAGUCUUAUUCUUGCCAUACUAGGAACUACUUUUGGUGCACUUGACUAAAUAUGGAAUAUUUGAUUGUCUUUUUUCCCUCACAAAUGCACUUCUGGAAGCAAUGUUCCUAAGAAUCUCGAUUAGUGCUUUGAAGAAUCCAUGUUAAUCUCAAUAAUUGUGCGGUGGUUUUAGAUUUGGACACCUGAAUAUCACCAGUAAUAUUAUGCUUUCAUGUCUGAAGGUCCUAUUAGAAAGCCAAAUGGGGUGGGAUUACUGUAUUGGGCUUUAAAACCUAAGACCAUCAAAACUUCUAAGACGCAAAAUAUAAUAAUAGGUGCCAAACUAACUGGUUUUUAUGGCUCUUUAUCAUGGAUGCAGGCAGAACUUCCUGAUUUUGAAGUCUCUGAAGGCAUAUAUUCUUGAGCUCGCAUCGAACAUGCUGAUUCAGGAUGUUUAUGGCGGGGAGCAAAUGUUAUGUUGGAGUAUUCAUGCGAAGAGGUACUCAAGUUGAAGCAAUGUCCCUUUAUCUCCAAUAAUGAUGUCGAGUAUCUUAUUUAUUGCAUCCAUUCAUGUUGCAGGCCACAACUCUUCUACAAAAGAACCUAGAAAACGCUAAAGCAAGUUUAGAAGUUCUUGUUGCUGAUCUACAAUUCUUACUAGACCAAGUAACAAUCACGCAGGUAAGUCAGAAUUUUUUGGAACUUGGAGGUCCAUUUUAGUUUCAAGCUAUUUAUUAUGUCAGUUUUGGGUAUGUUUGUUGUUGUUGAAUUACUGAAGUCAUGAUUUUUGUAACUGGUGUGAGGCUAUAAAUUGCAAAGACAUGCUGAUUUGUGACAACCUGGAGUGUGGUGAUAUUGCACUUAAGUGAAAUUGAAAAAUUUCGAAACUUGUUGUAGGACCAUACUCUUUAGUUUAUAUCACGGCAAUUAUGUUGGUGGUCCCUGGAAAUUUUCUUUUCUUUUUGGGGGUGAAACAGCCCUUGAGAGGUGAAUCUUUAUUUGGCAGGUUACGAUCGCUCGUGUGUAUAAUUGGGAUGUUCACCAAAAGAGAAUCCGUCAAGCCGGUGCUCCAGCUAAAUACUCUUAAAGAGAUCUUUUCAAGUCGAAUCAUGGUAGCAGAAUGUGUACUCCUGGAUGAGAGUACGACUUUGAUCUCCCCAUUUUCAAUCAGGUGAAUGAAUUAUGUAUCGCUCUGUUAUCGCAGUGGUUAAGACACUGACAACGAGUGAUUUUGGUUAGGUUUAUUGUAUUACACAGAGCUUGUCAUGUAAACGGUUUUGAUUGAGAACCUCUUGGGCUUGAUUAUUCAAUUUCUGUGUGCGGUGCGCUAGUGUUGAAUUAAUGUUGGGUCCAUCCAUUUUAUGUCGUUUUCACCUUGGAUUAUGUAUGUUUAGUAAGAACCAAUUUAAAUUUGAAUUCAGGGAAAAACAUGGCUUGCUUGAGGUUUACUGUGGAAUACAUGUCGGUGUUUUUGGGUCAAGUGUAGUGUUGUAAUUUGGUGGGUCUCUUGUUGUCAGAUCUUGGAGAUUUCUAUUAUGUUAGAGCAAUGCAGGUAUAGUUUGGUUAUAAAGUCCGUGGCACAGUAUGUAUAAUUAUUUCCAAAAUUAACUUUUUUCAAGAAUUUAAUGUAAGUACAUUAUUAAGUCAAAUUUUCUUUAAAAUUAAAUUAUUAUCAAAGGAUAUAGAUAAUUACACUUUCCUCUUUCUUUUGUUAAAUUUCCCUUCUUUGUACAUAGCAUUAUGUCAUCAACACAAUCGAAAGGUAUUCUAUGAAAUUGCAUCCAUGAUUCUUUUUUAAAGAUUUUCAUUGAAUUUAAUUGAAUUAUCUAAAUGUUUUAUUAUAAGGCAUAGAUGUAGAAUAUGAUGAACAUGAGUUAACCGACACAUAUGGAAAAAAUGGUUCUUCACUUAUUUCUCUAUCCUCUGAUGAGUCAGUGAAACACAAACCUUAACACAAGUGGUCUUUUAAACUUGGCUAUAGGUGCUGUCACACCCCGAUUCUCAAGUAUGCACACAUCCCUUACCUUGGUCGAUUUUAGAAUACGAUAUCCCAGGAUUAUGUAUCACCGACCUUUUCAUUUUCGAUAGCACGUGCGGAAGCAGUUGUAAAUCCCCAGACAAUAAAACAAUGGGAUAGAAAAGUAGGGCUAUAUUUUUCAUACUGAAAAUUCACAACCACACUUUUAUACAAGCACCUCAUAGUAUUUAAUACACUACUAUUCAUAGAGGUCUGAUUUAACACUUAUCCACAAAAAACCAGGUCUGACAAGACAGGAUGGGAUCUCAGUCCUCAUUCGAGUUGUACUCGGGAUCAUCCUGAUCCUCCUCUAAUUCUUCUUCACUAAGUUCGUUUCCUUCAAGCUCUUCAUCUUUUUCUGGCUCAUCGUCCUCUUUUGGUUCCUCCUCCUUAGGCUCAUCUACAAGCCUGAAAUGGUUAUACAAUAACCAUUAAGAUCACGUCUCAGUAAGUUCUACCCCCCUAAGACUCGAUUUGUAAACCAAUACGCUAACUAGGCUGCCUAUACACGCACGGGUCAAAAGACUUACCUUGGCCUUAGAUUCUACUUGCAUAUUAGCACAGUUCAAUAGGCACCCAAGCAAUAAUAUCAUAGAUCGAUAUCUUGAUCAAUCGACCUAGUUGAUUACAUGUCAAUUGGACCAUUCAUCGGUCAUUUCAAUUCAAUUAAUCAAUUCACGACAUCAGAUCAAAGCAAUGAUUAAUCGACCUAGUCGAUUACAUGUCAUCUCGAACCUUUCUUGGUCGACUCAUAUCAUAUUAUCUAUAAGUCCGUUCAUAUCAGAACUGCUCACUACUAAGCUGAUAAAUAGAUAGCAUAGCUCGCUUCUGAAAUGAUUGGGUAUAUUGUUCUCUGCUAAGCUGCAAUAUUGCCCUUAGGUUGAUAUAGAUGUAUAUCGACAGUGCUCAAUCUAAGCUGAUAAGGUAUACUGCUCUUUGCUAAGCUGCCAUAUCGCCUGUAAGCUGAUAUAGUAUACCGAUAUAUUCCAUCAAAACUAAUAAAGUAUACUACUCUCUACUAAGCUGACAUAUCGCUCGUAGGCUAAUAUAGUAUAGUAGUAUACUGCUCUCUGCUAAGCUGACAUAUCGCCCGUAGAAAGAUAUAGUAUACCAUCCCAAUCAUACAAUCAAUUCCAUCUUUUUAUCAUUCUCGAUAAAGUAGCCGUGUAUGGGGACACGGUCAGCCUUAGCCAAAAUAUAAUAUUUUCCUUUUCAUAAUUCUCACAUUUUCUAUAGUCCACUAAAAUAUUUUUGGCAUUAUCAACCGAUACCCAGUUAUUUUUGAAUUAAUAACCAACGAUUAUCCAAUUAAAUAAUAAUUCUCACUUUCACAAAAAAUUCAAUUCAGUACGAAAUAAAUCUUAAUUAAAUAAACGGACUGUGCCACGACAAUCAAUAUAAACUUCCGGUCAUUGGCCAUCCCAGUUGAAUUUUCGGCAAUCCCAGUUGAAUUUUAGGAAAAUAAAUAAAUAAAUAAUUAAUUAAUUUCGAAAAUUAAUAAUUAAAUACUAAAAAUUCAAUUUAGGCCCGUAUUGCCUGAUUGGACGGUAGAAUAGAUCAGGAAAAAUCCUAAGAUACAUUCAAUAAAUAUUAGAAGCUCUCUACUUGCUAAUAACUAAGUUUAACCACCUAACAUGCAUCAUUAAGUCACUAAUUUAAUUGUUCUAAACUAAUAUAACCACCUAAUUGCACUUAAUUAAAUCUAAUCAACCCUUAAGCAUAAUUAGCAAAACUAAGAAAGCAUUUGUGAGCAAAACUCACUUGUGCAAAGCGAAGACUGGAACACCGCAACGGCAGCACGACGGCGGCCGAAAUCCGAAUUUUCGGUGGUGUUGGCAGACUUGGACUGGGCCUGAAGUGGGCUGACCUCGCGGGCUUGGCUCGGAAUUGGGCUUCUAAUGGGCUGGGGUUCAUGGGCUGCAGCAGCUGAAGAGAACACACGGACUGAAUUUGCUGGGCUGGACUUUGGCUUCAAAUGGCGUGGGCUGAUGCUGAAGUUUUGGGCCGGUCAAAGAAGCAGCAAAGGCCGCUGGGCUGGGCUGGGCUGCUAAUUCAGUGGGAUGGGCUGCACGAAAUUGGAAGCAAGCUGGCGGAGAAGUCGGACUGCAGGCGGUGGAAUUGGCUGAGCUAAUUCGGUGGGGGUGUGGGCUUGCGGAUGAAGGAGAGAGGCCACGUGAAGCUGCAGGAAUUUCACUCGGUCUCCGUUGUUAAUGGUUGACCGGCAGAGGAGAUGGACGAACAAAGCUGCAGUUGCUUCGGUCGAAUUGAUGCUGGACGAGGGAGCAACAAAGGAGAGGAGCUCGGUGGACGCGUGGAUGAGGCAGGCGUUGAAGACGCUGAAACUGAGCGUUGACUGGGUUUUGCUUCGGUCGGUUGAUGCUGAACACAGAAGCAGUGAAGACGGCUGAACUGGAGAAGUAGCUGCGGGUGAGCUGCUGCACGGAAGGAAAUCUCGUUCGGUGGAGGCUUGGGGUCAACUAAGUCUACUGGAGUUGACUGGCGUCGGAGGAAGACACGGACAGCUGCUGGGUGAAGAAAUCGGGGAAGAUGUGGACGCUGGAUUGGUCGAUCGAAGGCUGACGGUGGGGAUUUCUUCGGUGGAGGAGCACACGGUCGGGGCGUUGAAGACGCGUGGACACGGAGUCAACAAACCAAUUUUUGUUGGACUCUUUCGUUGACUGCGCUUGGGGAUUCGGCCAUCGGUGGGCAGAGAACGUGGGCCGAAGGUGGUGAUGGCUUGCGGCGGAACAGAAGGCGAAGAAGGGGAGGGCACGCGGCAGUUAAAUCAUGAGGUGUUUCGGUGAGGUCUUCGAAGGGAGAAGAACGAAAGAAAAGC
rnacentral:lncRNA from 1 species